rnacentral:rRNA from 1 species
AGUCUGACCUGCCCAAUGAUGGUUUGAAUGGCUGCAGUAUCCUGACUGUACAAAGGUAGCAUAAUAAUUUGUUUUAUAAUUGAAGAAUGGAAUGAAUGGUUUGACAAGGGUGUGGCUGUCUCUUGCAUAUUUGUUUGAAGUUAAUUUUCGGGUUAAAAAGCUUGGAUUAGAUUAAAGGACGAGAAGACCCUAUUGAGCUUAAAUUGAUAAUAACGCUAGUGAGUGAAUGAUUAAGAAUUGCUAUAAGAUUAUUUAGUUUUAGUUGGGGCGACUAAGAGACAGGUGAAGCUCUCUUUAGUAUUCUGUAAAGUUGUUUUUUGAUCCAAUUUUUUUGAAUUAAGAUCAAGCUACCAUAGGGAUAACAGCGUUAUCUUUUUUGAGAGUUCUUAUCGAAAGAAGGGAUUGCGACCUCGAUGUUGGAUUAAGAUUUAAUAAAGGUUGUAGGAGCUUUUAUGAUUAGUCUGUUCGA